UUUGAGGGGAAUGUUGUCUGGCUCGAGGCCACUAACUAGAUCUAUGAUUUUAUCUCUGAAAUCAUUAAUUUAAUUCAUUUUCGUUGUUGAGAUAUGAUUUAUCAUGAGUUAGUGACGUCGGACCAGGCUUCAUUCCCCCCAAU
rnacentral:pre_miRNA from 1 species